UCGUAGAAAACGAUUGCUACGAAAGUAGAGGAAAGUCCAGGCUUCCACAAGCUGCGAUGUUUGUAGUGUUUGUACAUGACGAAUCAAUAAGUCAUGGUAGCGUGAGCUAACGACAAGCCUAAGACCUAAGCAAAUGUAUGGUUGAUAAGCUAUAAAGUGCCACAGAAACUAUUCCAGUCGAAAGACUUUGCUGAAAAGAGGUAAACUCUGCAAGGAAGAAACCCAAAUUUGGUAGGGGAAUCGUCUUGAAGGAAAUGAACUAAAAGACGGAUGUUUAAAACAUAGAUAAAUAAUCGUUUGAAAAACAGAACUUGGCUUACGA
rnacentral:RNase_P_RNA from 1 species